UACGUAGGUGGCAAGCGUUGUCCGGAUUUACUGGGCGUAAAGAGCGCGCAGGCGGUCGUUCAAGUCGGGUGUGAAAGCCCCCGGCUCAACUGGGGAGGGUCAUUCGAUACUGAUCGACUCGAAGGCAGGAGAGGGUAGUGGAAUUCCCGGUGUAGUGGUGAAAUUCGUAGAUAUCGAGAGGAACACCGGUGGCGAAGGCGGCCUUCUGGACAGUGACUGACGCUGAGACGCGAAAGCGUGGGGAGCAAACAGG
rnacentral:rRNA from 1 species